rnacentral:misc_RNA from 1 species
AACCAUUCUCACCUGCGGCUAGACCUGCGGAGGGAUCAUUACUGAGUGCGGGCCCGCUCCGGGCCCAACCUCCCACCCGUGUCUCUUGCGUACUUUGUUGCUUUGGCGGGCCCACCGGGUCACUCCGGUCGCCGGGGGGCGCUAUGCUCCCGGGCCCGUGCCCGCCAGAGCACCCCUGUGAACCCUGAUGAGGAGAGGCUGUCUGAGUCCCACGAUAAUCGUUAAAACUUUCAACAAUGG